AUUGAACGCUGGCGGCAGGCCUAACACAUGCAAGUCGAACGAGUGGCGGACGGGUGAGUAAUGUCUGGGAAACUGCCUGAUGGAGGGGGAUAACGACGGGAAACUGUCGCUAAUACCGCGUACCAUCGGAUGAGCCCAAGUGGGAUUAGGUAGUUGGUGGGGUAAUGGCCGACCUAGGCGACGAUCCUUAGCUGGUCUGAGAGGAUGACCGGCGACACGGGGACUGAGCCACGGCCCGGACUCCUACGGGAGGCAGCAGUGGGGAAUAUUGCGCAAUGGGGGCAACCCUGACGCAGCCAUGCCGCGUGAAUGAAGAAGGCCUUCGGGUUGUAAAGUUCUUUCGGUGAGGAGGCGUUACUCGCAGAAGAAGCACCGGCUAACUCCGUGCCAGCAGCCGCGGUAAUUC
rnacentral:rRNA from 1 species